rnacentral:lncRNA from 1 species
UGGCAACGACUGUGGUCGGUGAUGCAGACCAUGAUGGCACAACCGGAGACUCUCUAACUAGGGACCGGUAGCAAAGAUGGGUGCCAGAAAAAUCAAAGGAAACAGAUGAAAAAUAGGAGAAAACUUAAAUCAAAUAGGACCUUUUCUUUUCAGCCAAAAACUGCGAUAAUCGAUCCAAAUCAAAGCUGUAAGGGCUGAGGACGAGGGAGAGGAUAGCAAAUCAAGAGGUCCCAACCUCUUACCUAGCUUUGCAGUGAGUGGGCCAUGUUGGUGGCAAAAACUGUCCAUGA